UAUACCCUACGGGAGGCAGCAGUGGGGAAUAUUGCGCAAUGGGGGCAACCCUGACGCAGCAACGCCGCGUGAUUGAAGAAGGCCUUCGGGUUGUAAAGAUCUUUAAACAGGGACGAAGAAGUGACGGUACCUGAAGAAUAAGCUCCGGCUAACUACGUGCCAGCAGCCGCGGUAAUACGUAGGGAGCAAGCGUUAUCCGGAUUUACUGGGUGUAAAGGGCGUGUAGGCGGGCCUGUAAGUCAGAAGUGAAAUCUGGGGGCUUAACCCCCAAACUGCUUUUGAAACUGCGGGGC
rnacentral:rRNA from 1 species